GAUGAACGCUGGCUACAGGCUUAACACAUGCAAGUCGAGGGGAAACGGCAUUGGGUGCUUGCACCGAAUGGACGUCGACCGGCGCACGGGUGAGUAACGCGUAUCCAACCUUCCCGUUACUGCGGGAUAACCUGCCGAAAGGCAGACUAAUACCGCAUGUUCUUCGAUGACGGCAUCAGAUUCGAAGCAAAGAUCCGUCGGUAACGGAGGGGGAUGCGUCUGAUUAGCUUGUUGGCGGGGCGACGGCCCACCAAGGCGACGAUCAGUAGGGGUUCUGAGAGGAAGGUCCCCCACAUUGGAACUGAGACACGGUCCAAACUCCUACGGGAGGCAGCAGUGAGGAAUAUUGGUCAAUGGGCGGAAGCCUGAACCAGCCAAGUAGCGUGCAGGAUGACGGCCCUACGGGUUGUAAACUGCUUUUAUGCGGGGAUAAAGUGAGGGACGCGUCCCUUUUUGCAGGUA
rnacentral:rRNA from 1 species